CCCGCUAUGGGGCAGAAAUCCCUGCUAUGGGGCAGGGAUUGCCCUCUAUGGGGCAGAGACCGCGCUGUGGGGCACGGACUCCCACCCCCGGCCCGCACUUGUGGGGCGCAGGGACCCACAGGUUGGGGGUUUUUGACGCCUGGGGGAGGGGGCACCCCACAUCCUGCCCCACAUCUGUGGGUCCGAGGGCCGGGACCCCGGGAGGUUCCUUCUGUGGGUCUGGGGCACUGGGGUCCCCAAAUGUGUGGGUCCCGGACCCCUGACUCCCCCCACGUGUGGGUCAGAGACAUCUGGGGCCGCAAAUAUAUGGGUCCCAGCCUCCUGAACCCCCACAUCUGUGGGUCUGGGACCCCUGACUUGCCCCACAGGUGGGUCCCAGACACCAGAUCUGUGGGUCUGGGACACCCAACUUCUUAGAUCUGUGGGUCCAGAACUCCUGACCCCCCACACAGAUGUGGGUCCAGAACCCCCAACUCCCCACAUCUGUGAGUCCAGGACCCCUAACUCCCCACAUCUAUGGGUCCAGAACUCCUGAUUCCCCACAUCUGUGGGUCCUGGCCUCCUGAACCCCCAGAUUUAUGGGUCCAGGACCCCCAACUCCCCACAUAUGUGGGUCCAGAACCCCUAACUCCCCACAUCUGUGGGUCUGGGACCCCUGAACCCCUAGAUCUGUGGGUCCUGGACCCCUAACUCCCCAAAUAUGUGGGCCCAGGACCCCCAUUUCCCCCCAUCUAUGGGUCCAGGACCCCUAACUCCCCACAUAUAUGGGUCCAGCACCCCCAUCUCCCCACAUCUCUGGGUCCAGAACUCCUGAUUCCCCACAUAUGUGGGUCCUGGCCUCCUGAACCCCCAGACAUGUGGGUCUGAGACCCCUAACUCCCCACAUCUGUGGAUCUGUGACCCUUGUCUCCCCAAAUAUGUGGGUCCAGGACCCCUAAUUCCCCCCAUCUGUGGGUCCAGGACCCCUAACUCCCCAGAUCUGUGGGUCCGGGACCCCCAUCUCCCCCCAUCCAUGGGUCACCCCCCCUCACCCCUGCAGCGCGGCCGCC
rnacentral:lncRNA from 1 species